rnacentral:rRNA from 1 species
AUGCGCCGUCAGGGAGGCCAUCAGCCCGAGCCUAGGAGAAGACCACUCCUAAUCUUACUCGCCGCUGCUGAUUGGAUCGAGAGCGCCCACAUGGCCUCGCCACCGCUGCCGCCUGGAUUUGCUAGCCGCCGCAUGGAGUCACCCUGGCCGCCGCGUGGAGUCGCCCUGGCCGCCGCCGAGAGUCAGCUCCACCAUUGCCCCCAGGAAUCCGGUCCCGGCAAGGUAACUUCCUCCGAAUCCCUGCUCUCCCUGGUCCUCCUGCGGUCCUGCCCUGCUUGCUGCAUGUGUGUUGUGUGCGUUUGGCCACUCCUCGAGCAAGCUCAAGUCCGUCGACUUUUACAGGUAUCAUCUGCCUCCCUUCCGAUCUUCAGAUCUCCAUAUUUGGUGACUGCGCUGUUUUGA